UGGCUCAGUGGUAGAGCACUUCUCUGGAAUAUAUGAGGCCCUAGGUUGGAUUCCUAG
rnacentral:tRNA from 1 species